rnacentral:lncRNA from 1 species
GGCAGAGGCAGUUCAGGGGUAUUCUGGUUGCCUUACCCAGCUCUGAAGUCUGUCAGCCUCUUCAGAUGUCACUUGCCAUGUGGUAAGGAAGUGUAGUCAGCAGCUGGUGCAGUGGGAAGAAGAGAAAGGAAGUUCCCCAAGACAAAAACAUCUCGGCAGACCGUGAUCAUGGGCUACAUUCUCCGUACCAGCUUCAUAGCUCCAGUGAGAAAAUAAAUUCCUGCAUCCAGGAGAUGUGGAGUAAGAGAUACAGCUGCCCUUGACCAUAUUUCUUACUUCCGAGAAGAUCGUAGCAGUAAUUCAGAAUCUCAUCCAGGAUACCUCAUCACAGGCUGGAGUGCAGUGUCAUGAGCUUGGCUCACUACAGCCUCCAUCUUCUGUGCUUAAGGAUCCUUCCCUCUCAACCUCCAAGGUAGCUGAGACUACAGGCAACAUUCGAAACCCAGGUGCCACUCCUUCAGGAAGGUACCAUCAAGCUCCAAGGACUCAUCCUCUUUCUCCUUCCCCACUACCUAGUCAUUAGAGCGUCAGCAUCCACUUCCUGAAAGGAAGAUGCCUGUUUUUCACAUAUCCCAGAAAGCCUCAUUUUAGGACAGCAUUUAGCAGAGUGUAUUCAGGAUCCCACUAACCUUUUCGGAAGACAUGACUUCCAGAUGAUAUAAGGCAAGAAUAAGAAAUUUCAGUGACAGGGAACAGAAAUCAUAUUUCUGCAUUCAGGAUCAUGUUUUCUUGGCUCCAUCAGGAACUGUGCAGGACUGUGCACUCUGUUGAUACUCACAUGGUGGAAUUAUAUUGCCCUUGGCCAACCCUAAAGCCAUCAAGAUAGCAGGUUUGGAAUAAUUCACUGUCGAAGUCUUCUUGAGCUGAGCAGUCAUGUGAGCUUGGAAGAUGAUCCCUCUCCAGCUGAUCCUUCAGCUCAGGCCAUCAUCUACAUCUGGAUUCCUGACCCGGAGAAACUAUGAGUAAUGUGUGCUGCUUUUGAGCCACUAAGCUACAUGCUGCCAUGUAAGAUGUGCCUUACUUCCCCUUUGCCUUCAAUCAUGACUGUAAGUUUCCUGAGGCCUCCCCAGCCAUGCAGAAAUAUGCAAAGCCCAGGACAAAAGGCAGAGAUGCAGAUAAUGUCUCACCCUUCCCAGUACAGUCAGAGGGCACAGUUGGGCUAAGAACUCCACAUAUCCCUUGGACUUACUAUGGCUACAAGCAAGACAAGUCAAAUAAUUAUUACCAAUAUCACAGGAGCAGUUUACAGCCUUAAAGCAUCUAGCUAAAACAGUAUCUGACCUGCUUGACUAUUCAGACAAAAUAUUUAAAUAAUUCUAAAGACAUUUAAAUUUUAUUUUUACCAAAA